GAUGAACGCUGGCGGCGUGCUUAACACAUGCAAGUCGAACGAUGAAGCCCAGCUUGCUGGGUGGAUUAGUGGCGAACGGGUGAGUAACACGUGAGUAACCUGCCCUUAACUCUGGGAUAAGCCUGGGAAACUGGGUCUAAUACCGGAUAGGAGCGUCCACCGCAUGGUGGGUGUUGGAAAGAUUUAUCGGUUUUGGAUGGACUCGCGGCCUAUCAGCUUGUUGGUGAGGUAAUGGCUCACCAAGGCGACGACGGGUAGCCGGCCUGAGAGGGUGACCGGCCACACUGGGACUGAGACACGGCCCAGACUCCUACGGGAAGCAGGAGUGGGGAAUAUUGCACAAUGGGCGAAAGCCUGAUGCAGCGACGCCGCGUGAGGGAUGACGGCCUUCGGGUUGUAAACCUCUUUCAGUAGGGAAGAAGCGAAAGUGACGGUACCUGCAGAAGAAGCACCGGCUAACUACGU
rnacentral:rRNA from 1 species